UCCAUCGGUAUAUUCCAAGGAAACCCAAUUUUGUGUUUCCUCGGAAAUUUAUCGGUAUAUUCCGAGAAUUUCAUUUUCCGUCGGAAUUUCCGUCAGAAUAUCGCUGUUUUCUUGUAGUGUACCGUCCAUCUUUACUUGACAGAUCUAUCGUUAAAGUUGAUAGGUUUGAAGUUUCACGAUGCACAAAUAUGUAAAAGAUAUUUAUUUGUAAUGCUCAACUCCAUUUCCUCCUUAUUUGAAAUAAUUGUUUAUAUAUACAGGCGAUAAGACCCAGUCUGUCAUGGUGGUAACGACUGUCAAUCCAAAAAUAUAUGGAGGUAUGGUCAUAUAUUUUUAAGUACUAUAUGUUUACAACGGUUACUCUAAUAAGUAAUAAGUAAUAACCAUGCUCAAGAUUGUCAAUCCAGGAAAAAAAAAUAUCAGGGCAGUACUUUGCACACAUAUAUUUUAGUUUAUAACAUAGUCUAUAGGAAACACUCUUACUUCUGCAGGGAACUUCUAUUUGAACUCCACACCAGCCACCUAAUUUUACUUCGACAUCAACAUUUCUGCCAUCAAAGAGUUUACAUUUCAAAAUGUCUUAGAUUGAAAUCAUAUUUAAAUUCUGUUAAUAUUUGGCAAAUUUUUACUAAUUUAAAAUAACACAUGUACAACAAUGUCUCAGGGUAGCAGCAGCAAACUACAUUGGAUUGAACUCAUAUUCCCGUUUGUUGAUAUCAUGGAAGGAAUCAAAAAGAAAGAACUUGUGUCAAUUGGAGAACAAAACACGUUCAUCUCCAACUCUAAUGAGCAGGUUCCGUGUUGAACUACCGGUUGACGAUGGCAACGAUAGUGCCAUGUUUGUAGUCUUCGACAUGUAGAUGACAAAGCUCGCCAAAAAAGAUACACCUAUACUGGCUCUUCAGGAGGUAUGUUUAUGCUACUACACUCCAUUUCCCCUCCGUUUAUAAAGACCUUAUGCUCCUUCUGAAUGCCUCUCAAACCUCAAACCUGCGACAUAUGAGCAGUGCCGGUCCUGACAUGGCAAACACCACAAGCAAUUUUUCAAAAGCUUGGCCUAUUAUGUAUUAUAUGUAACUAAAUUAACAUAUAUAUCAAUGAUUUGUUCUAAAAAAAAGGCUGAUUUUUUCAAAUUUUUUUGGUGGGCUGGAAGCUGGUGCUUGUUGUGCUUUCCAUCAGGGCCGCUACUGCAUAUGAGUGGCGCUGGAGGGUAGUAACUCUCACGAUGCCUUGAAGAGCUAGCUGACAAGGAUUUUGUUUUCCAUAUCCGUGUCACUCCAUACAAUUUUACCCUUAACCACCGUGCUUUCACCGUCUCUGCAAUAAGUGACGAUAGCUUCUUUAGAACUCAGGCAGAGAGUAGCAGCAGCAACCAAGUACAGUCAUGGGCUGGGAAGUUGGAGAAGCACCAGCCUGUGCCAGCAAUACAGUUGAUGCGGCGAA